rnacentral:misc_RNA from 1 species
GAUGAAGAACGCAGCGAAAUGCGAUAAGUAAUGUGAAUUGCAGAAUUCAGUGAAUCAUCGAAUCUUUGAACGCACCUUGCGCUCCUUGGUAUUCUGAGGAGCAUGCCUGUUUGAGUGUCAUUAAAUUCUCAACUACACUGACUUUGAAUUGGUGUGGCUUGGAUUUGGGGGGAAAAUUGUUGUGGGCUUUUUGUAUAGUCUGCUCCCCUGAAAUUGAUUAGCGGUACCUUUGUGGAACUGUCUACAGGUGUGAUAAUUAUCUACAUCUUAGACAUCUGCUGGAAUGCUGCUUUCUAAACCUUACUUGUAUUGACAAUCUUGACCUCAAAUCAGGUAGGACUACCCGCUGAACUUAAGCAUAUCAAUAAGCGGAGGA